rnacentral:rRNA from 1 species
UACGGGGGGAGCAAGCGUUGUUCGGAUUUACUGGGCGUAAAGGGCGCGUAGGCGGUCAGCACAAGUCAGUUGUGAAAUCUCCGGGCUUAACCCGGAAAGGUCAACUGAUACUGUGCGACUAGAGUGCGGAAGGGGCAACUGGAAUUCUCGGUGUAGCGGUGAAAUGCGUAGAUAUCGAGAGGAACACCUGCGGCGAAGGCGGGUUGCUGGGCCGACACUGACGCUGAUGCGCGAGAGCCAGGGGAGCGAACGGG